rnacentral:rRNA from 1 species
CGAAUAAGCACCGGCUAACUACGUGCCAGCAGCCGCGGUAAUACGUAGGGUGCAAGCGUUAUCCGAUUUACUGGGUUUAAAGGGUCCGCAGGCGGUUUGAUAAGUCAGUGGUGAAAUCACAUGGCUCAACCAUUGUUGCUGCCAUUGAUACUGUUGUACUUGAGAUAGUAGAGGUGGGCGGAAUGUAUCAUGUAGCGGUGAAAUGCGUAGAUAUGCUACAGAACACCGAUUGCGAAGGCAGCUCACUGGACUACAUCUGACGCUAAUGGACGANAGCGUGGGUAGCGAACAGGAUUAGAUACCCUGGUAGUCCACGCCCUAAACGAUGUUUACUCGACAUAUGGACAAUUGGGUGUAUGUGUCUAAGCGAAAGCGUUAAGUAAACCACCUGGGGAGUACGUCGGCAACGAUGAAACUCAAAGGAAUUGACGGGGGCCCGCACAAGCGGUGGAGCAUGUGGUUUAAUUCGAUNNUACGCGAGGAACCUUACCAAGGCUUAAAUGC